CCUACGGGUGGCAGCAGUGGGGAAUAUUGGGCAAUGGAGGCAACUCUUACCCAGCAAUGCCGCGUGAAUGAAGAAGGUCUUCGGAUUGUAAAGUUCUUUAAUUGGGGACGAAAAAAAUGACGGUACCCAAGGAAUAAGCCCCGGCUAACUACGUGCCAGCAGCCGCGGUAAUACGUAGGGAGCGAGCGUUGUCCGGAAUUACUGGGUGUAAAGGGAGCGUAGGCGGGGAUGCAAGUUGGGUGUCAAAACUACCGGCUCAACUGGUAGUCGCACUCAAAACUGCAGCUCUUGAGUGAAGUAGAGGCAGGCGGAAUUCCUAGUGUAGCGGUGAAAUGCGUAGAUAUUAGGAGGAACACCAGUGGCGAAGGCGGCCUGCUGGGCUUUUACUGACGCUGAGGCUCGAAAGUGUGGGUAGCAAACAGGAUUAGAUACCCGGGUAGUC
rnacentral:rRNA from 1 species